rnacentral:lncRNA from 1 species
UGGUGCUGUGGUGUAUGGUGUAAGGGGAAUGGUGUAAUGGUGUUUGAGGAAUGGUGUGAUUGUGUAACGUGCGAUCGGGAAUGGUGUGAAUGAUGGUGUACGACAUCUCAUUGGUUGAAACGAAUUUCUUUUUAUUUUAUUUUUUCGAAUUGUAAACAUAAACAAUAAUAAUAAUCUUAAUAUUUGAAAUUUAAUUGCAUUAUGGGUAAUUUCGGAUCGUGUAGAUAGAAUGGGGAAUGGUGCAUGGUGUAAUGUGAAAGGUGUAUGGUGCAAAGGUGUAACGUGUAUGGUG